rnacentral:lncRNA from 1 species
UGGAAUCUACUUUAGAGAAAAGGGGGUGGGCACCAACAGUGUCUCUCACAGCUCCACAAGCACAAUCUCCUCCAAUUGGAAUUUGAGUGUAUGCUGUCAUUGUGCUUAGAAACCAUUUCUGUGUUAAGUUAGACAACUGUCUUUGUUAGCUGACUUUCUCCUUGGUUGGAUGGAUCCACUUGGCUGCUGCCAUCUGCUUCACCAGCUCUUUCUCCAUGAACUGAUAGAGGGCGUGGCAUAUGUUACAGCAUGGUAAAAUCACCCACGACACCAAGUUUAAUUCUCCAUUUAAAGUGGAGGUAGCUUAUCUCUUAGGCUACAGUUCAUAAAA